rnacentral:SRP_RNA from 1 species
GCUGGGCAUGGUGGCGGGCGCCUGUAAUCCCAGCUACUCAGGAGGCUGAGGCAGGAGAAUCGCUUGAACCCAGGAGGCUGAGGUUGCAGUGAGCCGAGAUUGCACCACUGCACUCCAGCCUGGGUGACAGAGCAAGACUCCGCCUCAA